rnacentral:lncRNA from 1 species
UUCAGCUUAUACCAAUGGCUUCUUCCUCUGUUUUCUCAACCACUCUCUUCCUUUCUCUACUCUUCACCUCUUUCUUCCUCCCCUCCUCUGCUUCUAACUUCCACCAAUCAACUGACAUUACCUGGGGUGAUGGUCGUGCUCAGAUCCUCAACAAUGGCGACCUUCUCUCUCUUUCCCUCGACAAGGCCUCCGGCUCUGGCUUUCAGUCAAGAAAUGAGUAUCUCUAUGGAAAAAUCGAUAUGCAAAUCAAGCUCGUUCCUGGCAAUUCCGCCGGCACUGUCACUGCCUACUACGUAAGUUUUUAUUUAAAUCAGUUCCCCUGCUUCUACUCCUGUUUUUUGUCUUCUUGAUUCUUACGGAACUUUUUGUGAUUUUUUAGUUGCGGUCUGAAGGGUCAACUUGGGAUGAAAUCGACUUCGAGUUUUUGGGUAAUCUGAGCGGCGAUCCUUACACUGUUCAUACCAAUGUCUUCAGCCAAGGAAAAGGAAACAGAGAGCAACAGUUCCAUCUAUGGUUUGACCCAACUGCCGAUUUCCACACCUAUUCAAUUCUCUGGAAUCCCCAACGCAUUGUGUAAGUUCAAUUCCAAUCAUAAAAUCAAGCUCCCGCACUCAAAAUCGAAAUC